rnacentral:rRNA from 1 species
CUCCUUUGACGUUAGCGGCGGACGGGUGAGUAACACGUGGGUAACCUACCUAUAAGACUGGGAUAACUUCGGGAAACCGGAGCUAAUACCGGAUAAUAUUUCGAACCGCAUGGUUCGAUAGUGAAAGGUGGUUUUGCUAUCACUUAUAGAUGGACCCGCGCCGUAUUAGCUAGUUGGUAAGGUAACGGCUUACCAAGGCGACGAUACGUAGCCGACCUGAGAGGGUGAUCGGCCACACUGGAACUGAGACACGGUCCAGACUCCUACGGGAGGCAGCAGG